GCACCUGUAGCUCAAUUGGAUGGAGCAACGCACUCCUAACGCGUAGGUUAUCGGUUCGAUUCCGAUCAGGUGCG
rnacentral:tRNA from 1 species